UUCUCCCUACGGGGGCAGCAGUGAGGAAUAUUGGUCAAUGGACGAGAGUCUGAACCAGCCAAGUAGCGUGAAGGAUGACUGCCCUAUGGGUUGUAAACUUCUUUUAUAUGGGAAUAAAAUGUUCCACGUGUGGGAUCUUGUAUGUACCAUAUGAAUAAGGAUCGGCUAACUCCGUGCCAGCAGCCGCGGUAAUACGGAGGAUCCGAGCGUUAUCCGGAUUUAUUGGGUUUAAAGGGAGCGUAGGUGGAUUGUUAAGUCAGUUGUGAAAGUUUGCGGCUCAACCGUAAAAUUGCAGUUGAAACUAG
rnacentral:rRNA from 1 species